GACGAACGCUGGCGGCGUGCCUAAUACAUGCAAGUAGAACGCUGAAGAGAGGAGCUUGCUCUUCUUGGAUGAGUUGCGAACGGGUGAGUCACGCGUAGGUAACCUGCCUUGUAGCGGGGGAUAACUAUUGGAAACGAUAGCUAAUACCGCAUAACAAUGGAUGACACAUGUCAUUUAUGUGAAAGGGGCAAUUGUUCCACUACAAGAUGGACCUGCGUUGUAUUAGCUAGUAGGUGAGGUAAUGGCUCACCUAGGCGACGAUACAUAGCCGACCUGAGAGGGUGUUCGGCCGCACUGGGACUGAGACACGGCCCAGACUCCUACGGGAGGCAGCAGUAGGGAAUCUUCGGCAAUGGGGGCAACCCUGACCGAGCAACGCCGCGUGAGUGAAGAAGGUUUUCGGAUCGUAAAGCUCUGUUGUAAGUCAAGAACGGGUGUGAGAGUGGAAAGUUCACACUGUGACGGUAGCUUACCAGAAAGGGACGGCUAACUACGUG
rnacentral:rRNA from 1 species